rnacentral:lncRNA from 1 species
CCUGCUAGAUAAGUCUUGUCAAUUUCCGUUCCUCACUCCACCGAGCUAGCUGAUGCUUCCGAUCCGCCAAGUUACUACUAGACAAGUAGGCAAGCUGCGGUAAUAUAAGGGCAAGCAACACCUGUAAAGUAGUAAAAGACCUAUACUCUGGCUACUGAGUUCAAUUAUUCACUGAGCUUCUUUCACUGCUAACUCUCCC